GAUGAACGCUGGCGGCGUGCCUAAUACAUGCAAGUCGAGCGAAUGGAUUAAGAGCUUGCUCUUAUGAAGUUAGCGGCGGACGGGUGAGUAACACGUGGGUAACCUGCCCAUAAGACUGGGAUAACUCCGGGAAACCGGGGCUAAUACCGGAUAACAUUUUGAACCGCAUGGUUCGAAAUUGAAAGGCGGCUUCGGCUGUCACUUAUGGAUGGACCCGCGUCGCAUUAGGUAGUGGGUGAGGUAACGGCUCACCAAGGCAACGAUGCGUAGCCGAACUGAGAGGGUGAUCGGCCAAACUGGGACUGAGACACGGCCCAGACUCCUACGGGAGGCAGCAGUAGGGAAUCUUCCGCAAUGGACGAAAGUCUGACAGAGCAACGCCGCGUGAGUGAUGAAGGCUUUCGGGUCGUAAAACUCUGUUGUUAGGGAAGAACAAGUGCUAGUUGAAUAAGCUGGCACCUUGACGGUACCUAACCAGAAAGCCACGGCUAACUACGUGCCAGCCGCCGCAGUAA
rnacentral:rRNA from 1 species